GACGAACCGUGCGAACGUUAUUCGGAAUCACUGGGCUUAAAGCGCGUGUAGGCGGUCCGGCACGUCGGUCGCUGAAAUCCCCCGGCUCAACCGGGGAAGGGGCGCCGAUACGACCGGCCUGGAGGGGCGUAGGGGGACCGGGAACUUCCGGUGGAGCGGUGAAAUGCGUUGAGAUCGGAAGGAACGCCCGUGGCGAAAGCGCGGUCCUGGACGCCAACUGACGCUGAGACGCGAAAGCCAGGGGAGCGAACGGG
rnacentral:rRNA from 1 species